rnacentral:rRNA from 1 species
UUCCGGGGAUCGUUCAGAGAUGGUUCUUCCCCUUUGGGGUCGGUAUACAGGUGGUGCAUGGUUGUCGUCAGCUCGUGUCGUGAGAUGUUGGGUUAAGUCCCGCAACGAGCGCAACCCUCGUUCCAUGUUGCCAGCACGUGAUGGUGGGGACUCAUGGGAGACUGCCGGGGUCAACUCGGAGGAAGGUGGGGAUGACGUCAAAUCAUCAUGCCCCUUAUGUCUUGGGCUUCACGCAUGCUACAAUGGCCGGUACAAAGGGUUGCGAUACUGUGAGGUGGAGCUAAUCCCAAAAAGCCGGUCUCAGUUCGGAUUGAGGUCUGCAACUCGACCUCAUGAAGUCGGAGUCGCUAGUAAUCGCAGAUCAGCAACGCUGCGGUGAAUACGUUCCCGGGCCUUGUACACACCGCCCGUCAAGUCACGAAAGUCGGUAACACCCGAAGCCGGUGGCCCAACCCUUGUGGAGGGAGCCGUCGAAGGUGGGACUGGCGAUUGGGACUAAGUCGUAACAGGGUUAGCCGUA